GUGAAGAAAGAAAGAUAUUUUUAGAAAGCCGAGAGCAGAGGAGCGAUUGAAACGGCACGGAAUAGGGAACACGCAACGCGUUCCCGUAAAAGAAACACAAGAAGUGGUGUUGGUGUCAGAUUAGAAAUGAGUGGGUCACAUUCAUUUUUGCAAUUUACUAAGGGGGUAGGGGUGGCCGCUGCUGUCUCACUCACCACUUUUGUUUCAAUAUGUGAGCCACCCAGCAGCCAGCAGCUUCUCGCAAAGCCUCACAGUCGUCUCACUUAGAAACGACAACAACAGUCAAUUAAACCCAACUCAACAAGACAGAGAAAGAAAGAGAGAGAACAUUCAAAAUUUAACAAAUAAUUAUUAUUUUUCUUUUGCGGAGAUUAAG
rnacentral:lncRNA from 1 species